rnacentral:misc_RNA from 1 species
CUUUUGAAGUUUUUGAAGUUGUGUGGGCUUUGAUUCCAAAGGUUUGUGGGGGCGUUGCAAGAUGCCUAGGAGUGUAGUGAUGAGUCAAGAAGCUGUUAGAAUGGAUGAAUUGGAGGAGAAAUUCCGAAUCUUGCAGGAAGCUACUGAUAAGAAGAUUGAACAAAAGAUUAAGCAAAAGAUGGAGGAAAUGAAGAUAGUGUUACUGGAUGAGAUGCAAAACAUUAUGAGUGGAUUUUUUCUGAAAAAGGGCAUGGAACUGUUAAUGAGGAAGUUGAAGGGAAUGUGAUGCAAGAAGGGCAAGGAAGCAAGGGAAUCUUGCCAAUUCCUAAGGUGGCAGCAUAAGGAAAUUCAAAAGAGCAUGUAACUGUAUCUUCUUUUAUGGGAAAUGGGGAGGCAUCAGGGUUGUUACCAAAAAUUGAGUUGGUUACUUGUGAUGGCAGUGAACCUAGGAUUUUGCUUAAAAAAUGUGAGAAGUAUUUUGAGAUCUAUAAGGUUCCGAGGGAUCCAAGGGUUGGAAUUGCUGCUCUUUUCUUAAUUGAUAGGGCAAAUUCUUGGUUUCAUAACUGGAGCAAGGAGAAGGUAGAUCUGUUGUGGGAGGAAUUUAAGAAAGAAUUAUGCAUUAGGUUUGGGGAUGAAGGAAAGGAGGA